rnacentral:lncRNA from 1 species
UUAUAUACAAUGCUCAACUGUUAUCCACAAACAGUAUCAAGAUGAACACAUUGCACAAUCAUUAAUAAAAUGGUAACAAAAUUACACACACACACACAUAUAUAUUGUUCGCAGGUUCAAGCACAAGUCAAUCUUCACAAAAGCAAAGCUUGGCCAUCUUGGCAACCAUCCAGAAAACACAAGUCACAUAAAAGGACCCCUAUUCACUGGUCUAAAAUAGUUCAAACACUAGAUGGUCCAAAUAAUUGAGUAACAUCCAUGAGCACAAGAUUUCUACUCCAUAACACUUGAGCACCAAAUGGUCCAGAAAACACAUAAGAUUCACGAUUACAAUUAAGUUGGCUGGUCCAAAAUACUGUAGACAGCCAAAUGCUCCAGAACACUUCAAAGUCAUCACAUCCAUGCGUACUAGGUUGCUGAUUACCUGAAAAUACUCCACAAGAAUUUGGUAGAAAGUGGAGUCAGCUCAAGUGCUUUGAAGCUCAUAGGGAGAUUGGCAGCCGAGAGAAGCACAAGAAUUAACUAUUUAUGACAUAUAUCCAUAACACACAUAACAUAGUUCGGUCAUACAUGAGGUCAAAUAUUUAUAAAAUGCUGAAACGAAUCAUCAUGCAGACAUAUCUACAUAUGCAUAGAAUAAGUAUUUCGCCAUGGCAAGCAUAUCUACAAAUUUUAUUCAACGUCUUACAUGCAAGAAAAUGUAGUAGGAUAAGCCAAUGUGAAGUUGUAUUUGUUCUAAUACGAAGUUAGCUGAUGUGAUCUUCAAAGUUUGAAAAUAAUGGUACAAAUAAGUGUUAGUACGUUAUCUGAUGAAGUAGAACUAAAAUGUACAAGUUCUGACCAAAAAAAUUGUAAUAUGUGAAGUUCAGUUUAUGCCAUGUGAUUUUCAGAUUGUGACCACCAAAGGGAUAACGCCAAACUAAUGUGUGUAUGUUUAACUCCUAAGCAAUGUAUGUGCGCUUCAAAUCAUGUUGUGUCAUUUUCAUAUUUUUAAUUAUAAACUGCAGUAUGUGGAGUUUUAUCAACAAGAUACAAAACAUAUCUAGUAAUGCUAUAAGUUCAGGCAGAAAUCUGGCUCUCUAGUCAAGGCUCAAAAUGAUCUAUGUAUAUUUCUAAGAGAGAAAUAAUAAACUUAAUGUAUGUCAUAUGUUUAGUACCUGCACCUGGUACAUUAGUUGCCUUCUUGUCAUCCUUGAUCUACAACAAUAACCGUGAAAUAGCAGGUGCCUUCUUAUCAGUUUGAGGCUACUUCUUCCACUGCAAAUUGCUCUGACAAAAUGUGUAGACAUGUAUCAACCAUCCUGCAAAAAAGGAAAAAUGUGUUCAAUAUAGAUAACUCGACUUCCCAUAAAUCAAAUCAUAAAGUAAAGGCCAAAGGUCUGCAAGUUAUGUACUUGGUUAGUAUAAUGAAUGAACUUGUCAAAAGAACAAAUAUUAUGCCAUCAACCAGAAUGAACACAAACAUCUCAUAAAAGUACAUUGAAAGUCUGAAUUCUGAAACUAUCUAGCCACUGCACUAAGGCGGCCUCUAAGGUUUGAAUGUGAUCGGAACUUGCAACUCCCCUCUGGAAACCAUAUCCAGCUUCAAGUAGUUGAAGGUAUGUGGAUGCAGAGGAAGAUGAGAUUAUAUGUUGAACCUAAGGUUUGAAUGCUAAUGCCAUAUUCAUGAAAAAGGAAAACUUCACCGUGCUCACAUAAAAAAAUUAUAUCAAACGAAGACACCGUUAUUCAUAAAUAUCCAGUGUAUUCAAAAGUGAUGGAGAAUAAAAUUGGAAUGUGCCUCCUCAAACGCUGACUGGACUCAGGGUCCACCUCGGCGCCCUCCGCUCGCCCACCUCCCGUCCUCGUUGACAGGUAGUACCACGGACUUGCUGCCCUGUAGGCUCAACAUCAUGUACAACCGCUC